CCCUUAGAUGUCCUGGGCCGCACGCGCGUUACACUGAUGCAUUCAACGAGCUUAUAACCUUGGCCGAGAGGCCUGGGCAAUCUUGUUAACGUGCAUCGUGAUAGGGAUAGAUUAUUGAAAUUAUUAAUCUUGAACGAGGAAUUCCUAGUAAACGCAGAUCAUCAAUCUGCAUUGAUUACGUCCCUGCCCUUUGUACACACCGCCCGUCGCACCUACCGAUUGGAUGGUCCGGUGAAGCCUCGGGAUUGUGGUUCUUGCCGCUUUAUUGUAGCGUGACCGCGAGAACUUGUCUAAACCUUAUCAUCUAGAGGAAGGAGAAGUCGUAACA
rnacentral:rRNA from 1 species